CCCUGGCUGUGGAAAGUCGUCUGUUCUUGCUAAAGCAGCAAAAGAAACACAUCGAUGGCUUAGAGGCCAAGAUGUUGCGACUGUGGUACGGUCUGUCGGCUCAACGAAAGAAUCCACAAAUAUUCGGAACCUCUUGUACAAUAUCUGUCAACAACUGUCUCUGAUAUACAACGCCGAAUCCAGCCAGGUACCAACGGAUUAUGUUGGAUUGAUCAACGAUUUCUC